CAGCCGCCGCGGUAAUACGAAGGGGGCUAGCGUUGUUCGGAAUUACUGGGCGUAAAGCGCACGUAGGCGGACAUUUAAGUCAGGGGUGAAAUCCCGGGGCUCAACCCCGGAACUGCCUUUGAUACUGGGUGUCUAGAGUAUGGAAGAGGUGAGUGGAAUUCCGAGUGUAGAGGUGAAAUUCGUAGAUAUUCGGAGGAACACCAGUGGCGAAGGCGGCUCACUGGUCCAUUACUGACGCUGAGGUGCGAAAGCGUGGGGAGCAAACAGGAUUAGAUACCCCAGUAGUCCCUGUCUCUUAUAA
rnacentral:rRNA from 1 species